rnacentral:lncRNA from 1 species
AUUGUUCUGGUAUGUUUCUGGUUAUCCCGAAUUGCAACGCCAUUAUAAAGUUCUUAGGGUUUUUAUGAACAGGCGAAUAUUAGUUUCAUUUUGGAAAAUACUUUCCAAGCGUUAAUUAGUUUCUUUUUUUUCAAAUAAUUUUCUUUUGACAUUUCGUUUUUUAAAGCGUGUCAUAUUUUUUCUCUAGAUUUGUCCCUUAACGAUAUUUUUUUAAAAAAGUCAAAUAUUAUUUUGCAUUUAAUUUAUGUAACAAUAAUAUAAACUGUUUAUAUUAAAAAAGUUGCUCAUUUAUUUUGUAAAAUUAAUGACUAAGGAACAAUGAAGUUGGGAAAAUUGACAAACUGUAGACAUAAAGUACUUAUCCAACAAAUACAAUAUUACAAUAAACUUUUACAUAGCAGAGUAAGACCAUCCAGAUUGAUAGGUUAUAAAGUCGGAUUUACAUAAGAUGAAACUUGUAAGGCAAUAGUACCUCCAAAGUCUGAACCACCAAUCAUGUAAUUCCAAGAAUCUCAAACCCGAAUCAAGCAACAAAAGCCAUAAAGAUGAUUGGAUUCAAACCAAAAAGCUCCAAGGAAUAAAGUAUAAAACAUUAUAUAGACCAUCAAAAUACCAAAGUAAAGGGAACUAUAUAGAAAAUUAGCAAGAUAAACAGGAUUACCUGAAGCUUGAGAAUAUCCUCCUAUACUCCAUUGGGUGAUUGGAUCCUCCACAUAAUCAACUGUCAGAGAGAAACAACAAAUGGAAACAUUUUUGUGAAACCGGGAACAGCCGGUAGAAUUCAUUUUCCUGUAACUACAAAAACUAUCUUUAUAAUUUGAACAAUAAACAAAAAUAUAUGAUAAAACCGUAACAAAUUAACACAAACAUGAAAAGAAAGAAAAAUUGAGAUCUCGACCAUAUCUUGUUAAAAAAAAUUACAUUAACCAUGGAUAAUUAAAAAACGAAAUUAAACAUAAUAAAACAUGAAAUUAAAGGUAAUCACAAAAAUACCCGAAUUAAACCUCUUUGUUUCAAGCAUUGAAAUCGUCUAGGCUAUAGGGUUUUCAAUUCGCUUCCUUCGUCUGAAUUUGUUUCACGGGCACAAAAAUCAACUCUAACAUCAUAUUAUUGCGCUAAAUGAAUUCCAAAGUAACUCCUUUUUUCCUUUGUAAGGAAAAUGUUGCUUAAGAUAGAGACCAUAAAUUGAAACAUAAAUCUAAAACUUAUACUAAUUUGUAAAUUAUACCAUUUACCUGAUUUAUAUAAUGUAGCAUCAAUAUCCAAUAAUGAAUUUUCCUGAUCACCCACGUUUAUAAAAGGUUAAACAAAGAAAAACACAAAAAAUUCAAAUAAUGAAUUUUCCUUUUUUAUCAAAUGCUAAUUUCUUACGAUUUUUUUCACACGCCACUACAAGUCCAACAAGUUUUAUCUCAUUAAGAACCAUGAUUGUAAUUUAGAUAGAGAAAGUGAAACUGACCGGAUCCUCAGAAGAAGGCUUCUUCUCCAACCACUGCUUUCAUGACAUGGACAUCUUUACCAAUGGCAUAGUUUGCAUAUAGUUGUGAACAUACAAUACAAGGGUAAAAAUGUGUCAUUCAUUUUACGCUUUGUGAGGCACGAAGAGAAAUUAAACUAACAUAAAUAAAAAGAUACCCAUUAGAAAGAUGUUCUAGUGAACCGAAAAGAAAAACAUCAAAUGUUAUGAUUAAAUUAUGCAACAAAAUGCCACCUUAGUUUAUGCAACAUAUGUAUAAGAUCGGUUGAUAUAAGCACACUUUUUACAAUUUCUGCUUUGACUACAUUGUUGUUUUAGUCUAGUAACUCUUAAUUUUAGCAACCACAUGCGUUCUUCUUAGUCUAUACAACAAAGUUGCAAGUUUCCUGGUAGGAGGUGGACCUGAUUCAUUAUAUAUUUCAUUAGGAAUAGGAAAUUAUAAAUACAAAACCUUUUAGGCUUACAACAUCACCUUAACCACUUUUGAGUUGUUUCAUUCUAACCCACAAUCACAUUUAGUUUCUUAUUUUUCUCACAUUUUAUUACCUUCUGUGAUGAUAAACUUUCAGAUUCUGUUUUCACUAACUCAAGUUUCUCCAGAGUUGCUUCAUGGAGCUUUGUAGUUCAUUUUUAGUGUGUCAAUCUCUCUUGCCUUUGGAUCUGCAAGCAAAUAAGUCUGAAAUAUAAAAACAAACUGAGAUAAUUUCCCAAAUUUCUAGCUUGAAUCUAGAAAAAUACCGGGAAAAAGAAACUAAUUAUCGUUGAUUUCCCACAGUUGUAGCUUGAAUCUUCAGAAAUACAUGAAAAAAAAACAAACAUAUCUUUACUUUCCCAAAGUUGUACCUUGAAACUCGAAGAUGUGAGGCAGGAGGGUCAACUAUCGAUAUACACAGUAAGUUAGAUAGAGGAACAAAAAAAGCUAUGGUGAGUACCUUAUAGAGAUGGGUUCCAUCACCAAAGAAAUCGAACAUCGACGAAGAGUUGUGGGAUUUCUAUGGCGGUGCUGGUUACUGGUUAGUGGCGGGGGUGAGGGUCGUUGCAACAUAUUAUUAAGAAAAACCCAAAAUAGGACAACACAAAUCAAGAAACCUGUGGGUUGGAAGGGUAAACCUGAGUUGCUUACGGAAAUCGUUGCCAGAUGGGUUGGGGUCGUUGUAGCAUUGAGAAAAACGAGGUGGUUGAUUUCGGUGGCAACAAUGCUAGAGAGAGAGAGAGAGAGAGAGAGAGAGAGAGAGAGAGAGAGAGAGAGUCUAGCGGCAUUAGGGUUUCUUUAUUUCAAAAGGCAUGAAGAAGUGGGAGAGAACGAAGGGACUCAGAAGAUGGAGGAAUCCAAUGGACAAAGGAAUUUAAUAUUAUGUGCCUUACUGCCUUUAAUUUAUUUAUGAUGUUUAUAUUCAGCUUAGAUAUAGGAAAAGUUCAGCACGUAUGUUGAAAUGUUAAUGCAGAUUUAUAAGGAAUCAAGUGAGUUAGUCAACUGGAAGGUAAAGAUAAGAGGGAAAGAUAAAGGAAUCGGGUCAAAGAUCUUUUAUGUAUCGC